UGGUGGAAUUUCUUCCUGCAUGUCUUGACU
rnacentral:piRNA from 1 species